GUUGACCUCGAAUCAGGUAGGA
rnacentral:rRNA from 2 species